GGGAAUGUGGCUUAGUGGUAGAGUGCUUGCCUAGCAAGCAUGAAACCCUGGGUUCAUUCCUCAGUACCA
rfam:Dipodomys ordii contig_15411, whole genome shotgun sequence.